UACGUAGGGUGCAAGCGUUAAUCGGAAUUACUGGGCGUAAAGCGUGCGCAGGCGGUUUUGUAAGUCUGUCGUGAAAUCCCCCGGGCUCAACCUGGGAAUUGCGAUGGAGACUGCAAGGCUGGAGUCUGGCAGAGGGGGGGUAGAAUUCCACGUGUAGCAGUGAAAUGCGUAGAGAUGUGGAGGAACACCGAUGGCGAAGGCAGCCCCCUGGGUCAAGACUGACGCUCAUGCACGAAAGCGUGGGGAGCAAACAGG
rnacentral:rRNA from 1 species